AGGGCUCUGUCAAUAAAAACCGUGUUGGUGAGAUGCUGCGCCACACCAACACUGGAUGGUUCUCGAUACUUGAUGUAGCACACUUUGGACGAGAAGGACAGAGAGGUGUUGCUGUGGAGGUACAAGGGGAAAGGCAGUCAAGACCAGGCGCAGGCCGCACAUCCGCGGUGUCGCCUGUCCCCACCGCGCCGACGCACGUCGCUCUUACUCGGGCGGGUAUAGCCGCAGCUCCUCGAUGUCCCCUAGAAAGCCGAAGAGAGUGCGCAACUGCUCGCUGCUCACCGCCGACGACAGCGGAGGGGAAAGGAUUCGCUGGCUUCUUCUGACCACUUCCCCGGCAACGUUGAAGUGAGGUACUGCCCCCUGCCGGUGGAGGCCAAGCAUAUUACCACAGUACAUUGUGAUUCUUUCUAAAUACAAAAAAAGCACAUUUUCAACAAAUAACUACUUAUAACGUGGGAAUUUUAUUCCUAAAAGGAUUAUUUAAAAUAUUGUAAGACACUUUUGAAACUGAAACAUUAUCAGUAGCCAAGCAGAGCCGAAAAUAAAGAUAUCUUAAAUGUA